AGAAGAACCUUUGGAGGACCAUCAGUUUGACUUUUUUGACUUCUACAAAAUCAUUCUUAAUAAUUAGCUCAAAUUUCCCUUUGACAGGCAGACUGGAACAGUGGGGAGAGGGGCCAACUUUGGUAUCAGGAAGACCUGGGCUCCAGUACUGCUUCUGACACAUACAGGCUUUGUUACUCUGGGUGGAACUCUUGCAAUUAAAAUAAUCUCCCUCCUUUACCGCUCCAAGGAGUCAGAAAUACCGAGAAACCUGUUGCUGAGAUCCCAUCUACUGACUUUUGUGGAGAGCUAUGCAUCAGUUCCAUAGAGGUGAUCAAGACAGGGUGAGGGAGUAAAACGUGUGGCCUUCCGCUUCUGGCUACAACAGAAGGUUGCAGGUGGUGGGCGUGAAGAGAUGGGAGAGAGACAAUUUCCAGGGAGUUGAGUUUCUGCAAAAUCGGACUGUGGCAUACCCCGAACCAUCGAAUAUUUCAUAUCGUGCCCCAAGGAACACGUGGCCAUGGCCCUGGGCUAGUUUUUGGCGAAUAGGAAGGGCAGUUUUUCUCUAAUUCAUCUCAAUGAAACCUCAAGACUUUUUAUUCCCGAGAAUGACUGGAAAGGAGGGUGGGGGGUGGGGGAGUAGGUAACGUGCUCAACUAUAAGAAUAUUUUCUGUGUCCUCUUAAUCUUGGCAUUAUAAAAUAAAUUUAAUUCCUCGUG
rnacentral:lncRNA from 1 species